CAGAGAGUGGAGCCUGCGCUGCAGGGAGAGGAGACUGCAGGCCUCCUGGGUAGAACUGCACCUUCACAGUAAUGGGAAUGGGAGCAGUAUUUCACCCUCAGUUUCUAUUUAUAAGGGUGACAUAAAAAAAAAAGUACUGCUAGAUUUCCAGCAUGAAUCCAGAUAGAGAUAACUCCAAGAAUAUUCUCCCUGUGACAACCCACCUCAUUCACAGAGACCAUGGGAUACUAAUAGGGUUUCUGAAACAGACACCCAAAGCAUUGGAGAGAAAAACAGCUCUCAAUCUGAGCAAGAUUAUAUUGAAAGAAAAAAUAAGCUAAAAGCAUCUUAAGAAAAAACUCAGAUUAGAUGUAAGACUGAUCAACUUGGCCAGAAGAUAGUCCCCCAAAAGGAAUUUUUCUUGAAACACUCAAAAUGCAUGGCUACUCUCAGCAUGAGAAACAUGAGCAUUAUGAAAAAAAAAGGCAUGUUCUCAGCAGAAUUUUAUAAGGUUUCUUUUUUUUUUUUUUUUGAGAUGGAGUCUUGGAGUCUCGCUGUGUUGCCUAGGCUGGAAUGCAGUGGCACGAUCUCGGCUCACUGAAAGCUCCACCUCUUGGGUUCAGGCCAUUCUCCUGCCUCAGCCUCCCAAGUAGCUGGGACUACAGGUGCCCGCCACCACUCCUGGCUAAUUUUUUGUAGUUUUUAGUAGAGACGGGGUUUCACCAUGUUAGCCAGGAUGGUCUUGAUCUCCCGACCUCGUGAUCCACCUGCCUUGGCCUCCCAAAGUGCUGGGAUUACAGGCGUGAGCCACCGUGUCUGGCCUAUAAGGUUUCUUUUUCAUGUCUGCUGCUCUCCCAUCUCCUAACCAGUGAAUUGGGGAUCUAUAUUGGAAUACAUCUGACAAUUUUCACCAGCACUUUUU
rnacentral:lncRNA from 10 species